rnacentral:rRNA from 1 species
GGGACGAACGCUGGCGGCGUGCUUAACACAUGCAAGUCGAGCGGAAAGGCCCUUCGGGGUACUCGAGCGGCGAACGGGUGAGUAACACGUGAGCAACCUGCCCUUGGCUCUGGGAUAGCCUCCGGAAACGGGGAUUAAUACCGGACAUUCACUUUUUCCUGCAUGGGGGAGGGUGGAAAGUUUUUUCGGCCAGGGAGGGGCUCGCGGCCUAUCAGCUUGUUGGCGGGUAAUGGCCCACCAAGGCGACGACGGGUAG